rnacentral:rRNA from 1 species
CUCAAAUGAAUUGACGGGGCCCGCACAAGCAGCGGAGCAUGUGGUUUAAUUCGUUGCUACACGAAGAACCUUACCUGGGUUUUGACAUAUAAGUUGUAGGGAACUGAAAAGGGACGACCCUUCGGGGAGCUUAUACAGGUGUUGCAUGGCUGUCGUCAGCUCGUGUCGUGAGAUGUUCGGUUAAGUCCGCUAACGAGCGCAACCCUCGCCGUAUGUUACAAGUGUCAUACGGGACUGCCGGUAAAAGCCGGAGGAAGGUGAGGAUGACGUCAAGUCAGCAUGACCUUUAUAUCCAGGGCUACACACACGCUACAAUGGUCUGUACAAUUGGUUGCCAAGCCGCGAGGCGGAGCCAAUCCGUAAAGCAGGCCUCAGUUCAGAUUGCAGUCUGCAACUCGACUGCAUGAAGCCGGAGUUGCUAGUAACCGCAGGUCAGCAAUACUGCGGUGAAUACGUUCCCGGGCCUU